UACAGAGGGGGCAAGCGUUGUUCGGAAUUAUUGGGCGUAAAGCGCACGUAGGCGGGUUCGUAUGUCAUUGUGAAAGCCCUGGGCUCAACCUAGGAAUUGCAGUUGAAACUGCGAAUCUUAAUACCUGAGAGGGUGGGAGAAUUCCUGGUGGAGUAGUGAAAUACGUAGAGAUCAGGGAGAAUACCGGAGGCGAAGGCGCCUGCCU
rnacentral:rRNA from 1 species